rnacentral:misc_RNA from 1 species
GAUGAAGAACGUAGUGAAAUGCGAUAAGUAGUGUGAAUUGCAGAAUUCAGUGAAUCAUCGAAUCUUUGAACGCACAUUGCGCCUUCUAGUAUUCUGGGAGGCAUGCCUGUUUGAGCGUCAUUAAACCUCUCUCAAGUAUGAUUACUUGGAUGUGAAGGAAGAGUACCUUAAACUUAAGGAGUGUUCUCCUUUGAAAUUGAUUAGCAGAUGGUAAUGUUAUUAAAUCCCUGAUGUUGUAAGAAAUAACAGUGGUUUUGUAGACUAUUAUCUAGCUUUAAAUUAUAAUUUUUAUUAUGGUUGACCUCAAAUCAGGUAAGGAUACCCGCUGAACUUAAGCAUAUCAAUAAGCGGUGGA